rnacentral:rRNA from 1 species
AUUGAACGCUGGCGGCAGGCCUAACACAUGCAAGUCGAGCGGAUGAAGGGAGCUUGCUCCUGGAUUCAGCGGCGGACGGGUGAGUAAUGCCUAGGAAUCUGCCUGGUAGUGGGGGAUAACGUCCGGAAACGGGCGCUAAUACCGCAUACGUCCUGAGGGAGAAAGUGGGGGAUCUUCGGACCUCACGCUAUCAGAUGAGCCUAGGUCGGAUUAGCUAGUUGGUGGGGUAAAGGCCUACCAAGGCGACGAUCCGUAACUGGUCUGAGAGGAUGAUCAGUCACACUGGAACUGGGCCACGGUCCAGACUCCUACGGGAGGCAGCAGUGGGGAAUAUUGGACGAUGGGCGAAAGCCUGAUCCAGCCAUGCCGCGUGUGUGAAGAAGGUCUUCGGAUUGUAAAGCACUUUAAGUUGGGAGGAAGGGCAGUAAGUUAAUACCUUGCUGUUUUGACGUUACCAACAGAAUAAGCACCGGCUAACUUCGUG